GGCCAGUUUACAGCCCAGAUGUUUAACAGACUGACAGGUGAUGUGCACCUUAGAUAAGGACAUCAGAUGAAUGGAAUAGAAUAUUACUGUUCUAUAAGAAAUGGGGAACUGAUUCCAGAAAAGCCUGGUAAGACUUAACAUGAAGUGAUGCUGAGUGAGGUGAGCAGAACCAGGAGAACGUUGUGCACAACAACAAGAUUUUGUGAUGAUCAAUUCUGAAGGACGUGGCUCUUUUCAGCAAUGAGCAUCAGUGAAGCAACUCAGCACGUGAUCCCUUCUUUCUGGUCUCUGAUUCUCUUUUGCUAAUCCCACCCGGAGUCUGCAACUGGGACAGCAAUAGCUCCUGCCGGGGAUCUACCAGAAGAAGAAGAUUCGUUCAUGCCAUUGCCAGACUUUUAGGCUAAAUCCCAGAUUCCUCUUUUCUCUUCUAUUGGGCAGGAGGAGGAGAUAAUGAUUUUAACGUCUCCUCAGGCUCAGUUCUUUCUCUGGAGAUGGACCGCACUACUUUUCACCAUAAAUCCUUCAGAACUGUUUUGGAUCAUAGUAUUGCUGAGAAUAGUUCAGUUAUUCACAAGCAUCCUGCUUGAAAUCUGAAAUCAGAAUAGUAUACCAUCACAAUCCUCGAUAACAACUUGUUCAGCCAUUCUUCAAUUGCUGGACAUCCCCUCACUUUCCAGCUCUUUCUCACCAUUAAAAGCUGUUACAAACAUUUUUGUUUUGUUAAAAUCUCUUUGGGAUACAAAGCCAAUAGCAGUACUGCUUGAUCAAAGCCCACAU
rnacentral:lncRNA from 1 species